GAUGAACGCUGGCGGCGUGCCUAAUACAUGCAAGUCGAGCGAACCACUUCGGUGGUGAGCGGCGAACGGGUGAGUAACACGUAGGUUAUCUACCCUCAAGACGGGGACAACCCAGGGAAACUUGGGCUAAUACCGGAUGUGAGCAACUUUUAGUUGUUUGAAAGGUGGCGUAAGCUGUCGCUUGGGGAUGAGCCUGCGUCCUAUUAGUUAGUUGGUGAGGUAACGGCUCACCUAGGCAAUGAUAGGUAGGCGGCCUUAACGGGUGGUCGCCCACACUGGGAUUGAGAUACGGCCCAGACUCCUACGGGAGGCAGCAGUCGAGAAUAGUCUACAAUGGUCGGAAGACUGAUAGUGCGACGCCGCGUGAACGAUGAAUCCCUUCGGGGUGUAAAGUUCUUUUAUAUGUGAGCAGUGCUUCUUAUAUUAACAGUAUGGGGAAGAGAUAUUAGCAUAUGAAUAAGCAACGGCUAACUCCGUGCCAGCAGCCGCGGUAAAACGU
rnacentral:rRNA from 1 species